AUGUGAUCGUCUCUCGCAUAUCAAUAAGCGGAGGAAAAGAAACUAACAAGGAUUCCCCUAGUAACGGCGAGUGAAGCGGGAAGAGCUCAAAUUUGAAAUCUUAAAGGGUAUCCCUUUACGAAUUGUAGUUUAAAGAAGUGUUUUCUGUUGAGGUUUUGGUAAAAGUUCUUUGGAAUAGGACAUCAUAGAGGGUGAGAAUCCCGUAUUUGACCUUUACUUUCAACUUUGUGAUACACUUUCAAAGAGUCGGAUUGUUUGGGAAUGCAGUCCAAAAUGGGUGGUAAAUUUCAUCUAAAGCUAAAUAUUGGCGAGAGACCGAUAGCGAACAAGUACCGUGAGGGAAAGAUGAAAAGAACUUUGAAAAGAGAGUUAAACAGUACGUGAAAUUGUCAAAAGGGAAGCGUUUGACACCAGUGUUGUUUUUCUGAAAAUCAAUUAAAGAACUGUUUAUGCUAAGCUGUUUAGACUUUAUCAGCUAACUGUUUAGUUUUGAGCUUUUCUUUAAUGCACUUUUCAGUUAACAAGUCAACAUCAAUUUCUUUUGCUGUAAAAAAGCUUGAGGAAGGUGGCUUGAGAUUCGUCUUAAGUGUUUAUAGCCUCUUGCCUAUGCAGUCGGAGAGAUUGAGGUCUGCAGCGUAGAUCCUUCGGGGCUAAAUGCAUUUGUGCUAAGUUAUAGCAUUUUAUAGACAACUUGUUGACUAUGAUUUGUCUUGUAGCUUACUCGCUUAUGUUAUUUUACCUACGCUUAGGAUGUUGAGUAGCGACAUACGCAC
rnacentral:rRNA from 1 species